rnacentral:lncRNA from 1 species
GCCCAGCCCGCGUCUCCGAGCCACUGCUCCCACCUCAGCCUGAGACGGACCUGCGCGCCGCGCACUGCGGGACACCUGCUGGCUCUCCCUUCAGGGAACAGCUGUGAGGGUGACACCAGCAGAGUGCUUCGACAGGGACGGCCGCAAACCGGCCUGACUAGAGGGCAGCAGGGAACUGGAAUGAAUAUCAGCCUUGUGAGAAGCCUGGGAGCUGCGAGUGUCCCGGAUGUGGAUUUGGACUGGCAGAAAGCAGGCCGUUUAAGAAGGAAGCGGCCUUCCCUGGCCCUACAAUGCUGUGCAAAACUGAAGAAGUCAAAGGCUUUGUCCUCAGUGGAGCAAAAGGGCUUGGUUGGACCCUUUCAAUCAAAGAGGAUGGGAGCCAUGUAAAAUCAGGAGCUGGAAAGUAAAGGCUGCCAUUCUUUCCAGGUCUGCCUGUUAAGAGCUUCUCUAAGUGACUGUACUUGAA